AUGCGAUGUAAAAUGUAAAGAAAAACAGAAUGCAGUAAUGUGCAAAUCAUUUAAACCCUGUAUUUAAUAGAACAUAGUACAAAGAUAACACAUCAAAUGUUGAAACUGACAAAUGUUAUUGUUUCUUGAAAAAUAUAUGCCCACUUUGAAUAUGAUGCUUGGUUUGGAUUUUAUGUUUAAAAAAGCUGGGACUAAUGCGCCAAAAGACUGUAAAACCAAUAUUGGAUGGAUGUGAUGUUAGGGCCCUCAGAUGGCACUGCAUUCAAAACAGACAUGAUUCUGUAGUGGACAUCACUGCAUGGGCUCAGAAAUACUUCCAAAGUGGGCAUAUAUUCUGCAUCCACAAAUGCUAGGUAAAACUCUACCAUGCAAAGAAGAAACCAUAUAUAAACAAGAUCUAGAACAACCGAUGCCUUCUCUGGGCCCAAGCUCAUUUUAGAUGGAUUGAUGUGAAGUGGAAAACUGUCAGAUUAAUCAAAAUGUGAGAUUAUUUUUGGGAAUCAAGGGACGCCGCGUCCUCCAGGCUAAAGAGAAGAGGGACCAUCCAGCUUGUUUUCAGCGGACAGUGCGAAAGCCAGCAUCCGUGAUGGUAUGGGGGUGUAUUAGUGCACAUAGCAUGGGUGAUUGGCACUUCUGUAAAGGCAUCAUUAUGCUGAACAAUAUGUACAGGUUUUGGAGCAACAUAUGCUGCCAUCCAGACCACAUCUUUUCCAGAGAAGGCCUUGCUUAUUUCAGCAAGACAAUGCCAAACCAUAUUCUUCAUGUAUUACAACAGCAUGGCUCUAGAGUAAGAGUCCAGGUGCUAAAUUGGCCUGUCUGCAGUCCAGACCUGUCACCCAUUGAAAACAUUUGGCACAUUAUGAAAAUUUAAAUAUGACAAAGGAGACCCUGAACUAUUGAGCAGCUGAAAUCCUACAGUUAUCAAGCAAGAACAGGAAAACAUUUCACUUUCAAAACUAUAGUAAUUGGUCUCCUCAGUUCCCAAACACUUACAGGGUAUUGUUAAAAGAAGAGGUGAUGCAACACAGUGCUAAACAUGCCCCUGUCCCAACUUUUUUUAAACAUGUUGCUGGCAUCAAAUUCAAAAUGGGCAUGUAUUUUUCCAAAGAC
ensembl:lncRNA